AAAGUAAAACCUAAUAAUUCAUAAUCUGUUUUUAAAUCAAGCGAAAAAAAAGGAGAUGAUCCAUGGGUAGACGUCAGGGUAGUUGGAGGGAAAAAUAAGAAGAAAACAACAAACAAAUAAACACUCAUUUAAACAUUUAGACAUGUUUCAGAAAAUCCUAAAAAUAGACCCUUUUUUUUUUCACUUCAAUUUAUCUUUAAUAAUAGAUUGUUAGACAUGCAAUCGACUGUGAAUUGAAAAGCCCAAUAUACUGAUGGGCCGCACAAACCGGCAUUGCCCUAAUUGGAAGUGCGACAUCGUCGGCAAGUUGCGAUUUUGGGAUUGCCAGUCCCCAUUUCGAUGACAGAGGAGCUUCAGUGGUCGAUGCCACAUGCAAGUUGGAUUUUUGGAACAUUCUAAAGCAGAAGUUCCAGGCUUUAUUCAAAAUUUAGUGGGCACAAUGGCUGUCUCCGAACGAAGGCUGACUGGUCAAUGUAGAAGCAAAACUGUGUCGUUUUGGCUUGGAUGUUGAUGUUAUGCUUAUGGAAGUGCUGGUGAAAUAUUCUCUCUCCUGCUUUACUUUUUCAUUCUCCAAUUAAAAGCAAAAGAGUUAAAAUGAGAUGUUGCUUUCUGGUCUGCAUUUCUGUCCAUAUGGGGUUUUUAAACUUGCUUUUGUUGGUUUCUCCCGCACCUAAUCAUAAUCCCCAUCAUUACAUUAUUCUUCUUUAAAUCACUCUAAAACAUUUUCUAUUAUCCUUUUCACUUUCAUGAUCUUCUUUUUCUUCCUAUUAUUUAUAUGAAUAAAUCAAAUUUGGAAUUUAGAUUUUUUUAACCAAACCUUGCAAUAAUUUUGGUUACUGUUUGAUUAUCAUUUUAUUCUUCUUUUUCUUUUUUCUUUUUUUAAACUAAGCUUAUAUGAUAUAACUUUUACUUAUAUGUUUUUUUUCUUUUGUUUUUUUUUUUUUUUUACAUUUUAAAACAUUUUCAAAAUCUAAGUUAGAAAUUUGAAAACUAAGAUUUUGUUUAAUAACUAUUUGGCUUUGAUUCUUAAUGUUUGAGAAUUGUGUUUAUUCCAUCCUAAUUACUCUGCACUGAUUUUCAUAUUUUCUAUAAAACAAAAGCAUUUAAAGUCUUAACAAAACAAAGAAAUCUAAAGGAUGUUUGACUCACUAACUUCAUAAAUUGUUAAAUCACUCAAAUUUAAUACUAAAUAGUAAAUACUAUUGAAAUUUACACAUUUAUCGAGAAAUUUUAUAUUAUCCUCUUUCUCUAUUUUGCACAUUUAUAGAGAAAUUUUAUCUUACAACUCUACACCUCAAACACACACCUAACUCCAACAUAUUUAUUACUCAACUUAAUGUUCCAAACAUCAUCGAAAUGCCUAUAAGAUUAAUUUUUUAAAAUCUAAAAUUCAUAGAUUAUCAAACAAAACUUUAAAAAAACAGUUUUUGUUUUAAAAAUUCAGUAUUAUUCAAAUGUGACUUUAAGAAAGGUGAAGACAUACUCACUAUAGUGAAGAGAUAAGCAUUCAUUUAAA